rnacentral:rRNA from 1 species
UACGUAGGGCGCAAGCGUUGUCCGGAAUUAUUGGGCGUAAAGAGCUCGUAGGCGGCCUGUUACGUCUGCUGUGAAAUCCCGGGGCUUAACCCCGGGCGUGCAGUGGAUACGGGCAGGCUGGAGGCAGGCAGGGGAGAACGGAAUCCGGUGUAGCGGUGAAAUGCGCAGAUAUCGGGAGGAACACCGGUGGCGAAGGCGGUUCUCUGGGCCUGUACUGACGCUGAGGAGCGAAGCGUGGGGAGCA